rnacentral:rRNA from 1 species
AGUUUGAUCCUGGCUCAGGAUGAACGCUGGCGGCAUGCCUAAUACAUGCAAGUCGUGCGGUCGCCUUUGGCGACAGCGGCGGACGGGUGAGUAACGCGUGGGAAUUUACCCCAAAGUGAGGGAUAACCUGCCGAAAGGUGGGCUAAUACCGCAUAUGGUCCAGCACUUUUGUGAUUUUGCUUAUUUAACUCGAGCUCAGAUAACACCUGGUUUCGAAAGUGGAUAAGACGACAAAAUUGCAAAUGUGUUGGAUUAAAGCUUUUAGCGCUUUGGGAGAAGCCUGCGUCCGAUUAGCUUGUUGGUAAGGUAAUGGCUUACCAAGGUUACGAUCGGUAGCUGGUUUGAGAGGAUGAUCAGCCACACUGGAACUGAGACACGGUCCAGACUCCUACGGGAGGCAGCAGUAGGGAAUUUUUCACAAUGGGCGAAAGCCUGAUGGAGCAAUGCCGCGCGCAGGAUGAAGGCCUUCGGGUUGUAAACUGCUUUUAUGAUCGAUGAUUAUGACAGUAGGUCAUGAAUAAGGAUCGGCUAACUCCGUGCCAGCAGCCGCGGUCAUACGGAGGAUCCAAGCGUUAUCCGGAAUAACUGGGCGUAAAGAGAUGCGUAGGUGGUAAAUCAAGCGAAACGUGAAAUCGUGCGGCUCAACCGCACGGCCGUGUUUCGAACUAAUUUACUAGAGAAUAGUUGAGGUAGCUGGAAUUCCCGGUGUAGGAGUGAAAUCCGUAGAUAUCGGGAGGAACACCAAUGGCGAAAGCAGGCUACUGGACUACUUCUGACACUGAGGCUCGAAAGCGUGGGGAGCGAACGGGAUUAGAUACCCCGGUAGUCCACGCCGUAAACGAUGGAUGCUAGCUGUGGGGAGUAUCGACCCUUUCCGUAGCAAAGCUAACGCGUUAAGCAUCCCGCCUGGGGAGUACGGUCGCAAGAUUAAAACUCAAAGGAAUUGACGGGGACCCGCACAAGCGGUGGAGCGUGUUGUUUAAUUGGAUGAUAAGCCUAGAACCUUACCAAGGUUUGGCAUCCUCCGAAAUUUGCCGAAAGACGAACGUGCCUUCGGGCCGGAGUGACAGGUGAUGCAUGGCCGUCUUCAGCUCGUGUCGUGAGAUGUUGGGUUAAGUCCCGCAACGAGCGCAACCCUUAUGGUUAGUUGUAUUUCUCUAACCAGACUGCCUCGGUAACGGGGAGGAAGGAGGGGAUGAUGUCAGGUCCGUAUUUCCCUUACACCUUGGGCUACAAACGCGCUACAAUGGCCGGUACAAAGGGCAGCCAACCCGCGAGGGGGAGCAAAUCCCAUCGAAACCGGUCCCAGUUCGAAUUGCAGGCUGAAACCUGCCUGCAUGAAGUUGGAAUCGCUAGUAACUGUGGGUCAGCACACCACGGUGAAUACGUUCCCGGGUCUUGUACACACCGCCCGUCAUACCAUGAAAGUUGCCAACACCCGAAGUGUCGCUUUUGCGAUCCUAAGGUGGGGGUGAUGAUUGGGGUAAAGUCGUAACAAGGUAGCCGUA